AGUGCUGUGGUUUAGUUGGUUAAAUCAGCUGCCUAGUAAACAGGAAAUCCUGAGUUCAAAUCCCAGCAGUGCUU
rnacentral:tRNA from 1 species